UUUAAUUUUGUAUGGGCAUAUAUGGUUUCACUACUUCACUCUCUAGCUACCUCCACUGAUCAGUCAAAAAAAAAAAGAAAAAAAAGAGAGCCAAACUUUACUGUCUCUGGCAUAUAUGUAAGUAGACAGGCUCACAUUAUUCUGGGCUCAUAAAAAAAAAUUGGGAAUUAUUUGAUAUGAUGUGUAUAUAAAGGCACACAUACAUACAUGUGAGAUGUGAAUAGAUUAGGGAGCUUAUUGAAGGUUCAGUAGUUUCAACCAUCAAGUCCUGUCAUGCUUUUCCACAGCUUUCUUGAACUUCUUCAGCUGAAUGCUGGUCUCUUGGCUUUGGUUAUGAGGGAGAAGAGAUCAUUCAUUUCUGCAUUGAAGUCCAAGAAAGCUGUGGGAAAACAUGCCAAUUUUAGGACUUAUGUUCCUAUGUUUUUCUUCGUUGUUCUGUGCUCAACAUCUCUGAGCUGAGGUUCCACUCCUCGGAAAGAGUGGUUGGAAAUUGACGAUUUUUCUUCCUAAACCUCAAAAGGCUCCUUACAAAGGUGUUCCUAAUAAUGAGCAGUUGUGUUACUGAAGUAUAUCUAUCCCUGCUGGUUUGCCAACAUACAAGCAAUGGUUUGUCUUUAAACCAUUUUCUUGUAGUGGGAGAGCUAUCAACUUCAAAUUUUGAGACUGAACAGGGAUGCACAUGCACCAUUGAUGGGAGCUUGGGCUAUUCAUAAUCUUAUGUAUUAAUAAAUCAAUUAUUGGUGAUGUAUCUUUACAAGAAAGCCUAUGAAUGCAAAUAUGAAACAUUAACUGAUUAACCACCCAACAAUAAUUGGCCAGGCUAUCCCAACAACUGAAUAUAAUGUGACUAGCUUGAUUUGUUUAAAAUUUAUUUUAUGGCA